GAUGAAGAACGCAGCGAAAUGCGAUAAGUAAUGUGAAUUGCAGAAUUCAGUGAACCAUCGAAUCUUUGAACGCACAUUGCGCCCGGCAGUAAUCUGCCGGGCAUGCCUGUCCGAGCGUCAUUUCUCCCCUCGAGCGCAGCUUUCCCCCCCGGGGGAGGGCCGCGCCCGGUGUUGGGGCGCUACGGAGGAGCCCAGCGCUCCCCCGUAGGCCCCGAAAUGUAGUGGCGGUCCCGCCGCGGCGCCCCCUGCGUAGUAGUUUUACAACUCGCAUCGGGUCCCGGCGGAGGCCAGCCAUCAAACCCCCCAACUUCAAUAGUUUGACCUCGGAUCAGGUAGGGUUACCCGCUGAACUUAAGCAUAUCAAUAAGCGGAGGA
rnacentral:misc_RNA from 1 species